CUCUCUCACCUCCUCUCACUUCCUCCCCUCUCUCUCUCAGCUCCUCUCACUUCCUCCCCUCUCUCUCACCUCCUCUCACUUCCUCCCCUCUCUCUCUCACCUCCUCUCUUCUUCACCUCCUCUCGCUACAAACCCCCACAGCACAACAAAACAGAUCCAACAACCAAAUAAAUAUUUAAAAAAUGAUGAAAAUAUUGUUGUGACACCGUAACACUUAAGUUUGUAUGACUGUGCGUUUGUAUUAGAAUGGCCGUGGUUUAGGAACCUGCACAAAUAGGAGACGAUACAUGGCACUCAGAGGAUAGAAUGUGUCACAGCCAGGGGUGUUUUAUUCUGUGUAUUAAUAAAUAGCACAGAGCCCUUAUAUUUGCAUGUCUUUGAGUUGGAACAGGUAUUUUGGAGGGUACUUCAAUUUCCCAUUUUCUUCUUAAUCACUGUACUACUUUAAGAUUUGAUUUCUAGAGAACGCAUGGUCCUCUUAACACCUGAAGUGAUGGUCUCUGUUAAAGACAUUUGUUAGUGUCACCGAUAUCUUCAAACCGUGUCCAUCUCUGUCUGAAUUAGCACUUGUAAUGUGGUGUAGAGCACUGCUGAGUAGAGUUAAUCCCAGAUCAGUGUUGCUCACACACUCCUCUCCCAGUUUAACCAUAGGGGCGGUGGUCUAAAUCUGACCUCCAAGCAGUUCAUAGUGCUCAACUCUGACAUUCGAGAGGGUGGGCCAGUGCAUUCAGAUCCGUGUGAAACGGUGGUCACCGCACCAGUUACGUGGUUUCUUAUUAUGGUAUGUCAGCAGGCCUUAACUCUCCGUUCAGUCUAUAUCACUCACUGCCUCGCAUGGUGGGGCCAAAGUCAAUAUUGGACCACUUGUCUCAUUGGUUUCUGUGAGGGACUUGGCUAUUUUCUCUCUGCUUGGAAUGCUGAAACAGGAUAGUCACUGGAUGCUGUGUACUUCUCUACUCUCAAAGUAUAUCCAUAUAUAGUGUGAUAAUACAUUUUUGCGUUUACAUUAUGAGCGGAUGGCUUCUGAUUUAAAAAAUCUGUAACCAAUUUUUUUUUUUUUUUUUUUUACUACAUACCACAUGAUACAUACAGCCUUGGACACUAGUGAGUAUUUGGUGUAAAUACGUGCCUGAUGCAAGUCCUCCCCUACUGGAAGACGACUGGCCACAUCAUGGCAUGGAUUUAUUGAGGAAGUGAAAACUUUUGUAAGAAAACCCUUGGUUCCACCAUUAAAAAUGAAUUAUGCCUAAUAGAAUCUCUUGUCAUCAUUUAAUCCAAUUGCUAGGUCAGGCUGUAGGACAGGCUGUAGAAAAGUAAGGCAGUAGGACAGGCUGUAGAAAAGUAAGGCAGUAGGACAGUAGGACAGUAAGGCAGGCUGUAGGGCAGUAGGCCAGGCUGUAGGGAAGUAAGGCAGUAGGACAGGCUGUAGGACAGUAGGACAGUAAGGCAGGCUGUAGAGCAGUAGGAAAGUAAGGCAGUAGGACAGGCUGUAGGACAGUAAGGCAGGCUGUAGGACAGUAAGGCAGGCUGUAGGGCAGUAGGAAAGUAAGGCAGUAGGACAGUAAGGCAGGCUGUAGAGCAAUAGGAAAGUAAGGCUGUAGGGCAGUAGGACAGUAAGGCAGUAGAACAGGCUGUAGGACAGUAAGGUAGUAGGAUAGGCUGUAGGACAGUAAGGUAGUAGGACAGUAAGGUAGUAGGACAGGCUGUCUGGCAGUAAGGCUGUGUGACAAUAGGGCGGUAAGGGAGUAGGAGAGUAGUAAAGCAGUAGGACGUUAUUAAGGCAGUAGGACAAUAGGGUGGUAAGGGAGUAGGAGAGUAGUAAAGCAGUAGGACAUUAUUAAGGCAGUAGGACAAUAGGGUGGUAAGGGAGUAGGAGAGUAGUAAAGCAGUAGGACAUUAUUAAGGCAGUAGGACAAUAGGGUGGUAAGGGAGUAGGAGAGUAGUAAAGCAGUAGGACAUUAUUAAGGCAGUAGGACAAUAGGGUGGUAAGAGAGUAGGAGAGUAGUAAAGCAGUAGGACAUUAUUAAGGCAGUAGGACAAUAGGGUGGUAAGGGAGUAGGAGAGUAGUAAAGCAGUAGGACAUUAUUAAGGCAGUAGGACAAUAGGGCAGUAGUAAAGCAGUAAGGCAGUAGUAAAGAUGUAGGGUUGUAUGGCAGUACGACAGUGCGACAGUAAGUCAGUCGGCUGUUCAUUUGUGUGUUUAACCUUGUUCACAGAAAUACCCCACCUCGUUGUGGACACAAAUAGUUUCUGUCAGAUUAUCUCUAUGAUAAAAAGUAUUUGAUAGAGACGGCCAGAUAGGCUUUCAACAGCCCCCCUGAUCUGGUCUGUAACUGGAAUGCUGAUGUCUUUUAUUUUCUCAUUAGAAAUGUUGUGAGAGAUGCUGACGGAGACACACAAAGACAGGCCACUGUUCAACUACACUCUUGUUAAUAAAGAACCCACUUUGGGGACUUUUUUUUGUGUUUUGUAAAUGUUGUUUCCCCCUUUUAGGAGGCAUUGUUUUCUUCACAUUUUAUCUGUACCAACACAUGAUCACGAGGAAUCCUUAGAUCCACUCUGGUGUCACACUGUCAGACACAAUAGUAAUGUCACUGUUUCAUAGAAGGAUUUUUGGAGGGCAGGACAGGUUUCAGGAGGUGGAUAAGAAGCUCAGAAGUUGUCAGGAGAACAUGUGUGCCAAUGGCCACAUAGAUAUACAGUACUAUAGAUAUCUCCUUUCCUUGGUUCAUUUUGAAUCAUACUUUUUUUAGUAAUGUCUGUAGAAGUUUAAAGAUGCCUAUGGUACUGAGGAGUAACAUGCCUAAGGGAAUAGAGCAGGUAUAGUUCAGAAGUUAUAGUUAACAUUCAAGGUUUUUUGGAGCGGUUGUUUCAUUUUGGAGCUACACUUUUUGUCUGGGUUUACUGAACCUGCCUGGGAUUCUAGAACCUAGAACUUUCUAGAAUCAACUUGAUUAGUGGGAGUUCUGUUCUGGAACUUCAGAGUCUAUACUGGGCACUUGACGUCACUCACUGUGUUGCUAAAUGUGGUAAAUCUUAAAUAUGGCUGCCUUGAGGAAUGUGGGACAUUACCAUUAACAAAGCAGCCUGCCCUUGAUUUGAGUCUAAAUGGUAAAUUGGAUUUGUGAAAACAGUUCAGUCUGGCCUGGUCUGUAUUUAGCAAAGCAUUUACACUGUAUGUUAAUCUAUGAGAACGUAGGAACUGCUUCUGUUAUGUAAAGUGCCAUAUUUACUGAAUGUAUUACAUUUGUAGAGCUGGAUACAAGGUUGACUCCAGCAGCAGCACCGCAGAUAUUAAUCUGAGUGAGAUGCAACGCUUUUCUCUCACACAGCCGCACGCUGUAUCUGCAUGUGCACGGGUUGGCUUCACGCUGGUACAGCAUGGUAGGUACGGGAUCAAAACAGAGGGGGAAGUGGAACCUCGCGGCUUCAACACUUUUAGGUGAUGAGGAAAUUGACCCACAAUGCCGUUUACUUUCUGAGCUCUACUACUUUACGUUUCCAUGCCCAUAUUUUAUCAUUUAAACUCCGGUGCUUCUGAAUGCUUUGUGUAUGUUUGCAGAACACAGUCAAUAUUAUGGGUUGAGUGAAGGUCACUUAAAUGAAUGUAUAUAUGAUGAGUCAUGAACGUGUAUCUUCAUGGUGUUUUUUUACAGAGUGUCAGUUGAAUAAUUGUGCACUUCACUUGUUCUGGGUUAGCUAUCGUAAUAAAACGGCCACGCUUCACUCUAGUGGGAUGAUGAUGAUGAUGAUGAUGCUUUGUCUGCUGCCAAAUAAAACAUAACAAAUGACA